rnacentral:rRNA from 1 species
UGGGGAAUUGUUCGCAAUGGGCGCAAGCCUGACGACGCAACGCCGCGUGGAGGACGAAGAUCUUCGGGUUGUAAACUCCUGUCGAGCGGGACGAAAAGUGAUCGGGUUAAUACCCCGGACGCCUGACGGUACCGCUAAAGGAAGCCCCGGCUAACUCCGUGCCAGCAGCCGCGGUAAUACGGGGGGGGCAAGCGUUGUUCGGAAUUACUGGGCGUAAAGGGCUCGUAGGCGGCCAUCCAAGUCGGACGUGAAAUCCCUCGGCUUAACCGAGGAACUGCGUUCGAUACUGGUUGGCUUGAAGCCGGGAGAGGGAUGCGGAAUUCCAGGUGUAGCGGUGAAAUGCGUAGAUAUCUGGAGGAACACCGGUGGCGAAGGCGGCAUCCUGGACCGGUCUUGACGCUGAGGAGCGAAAGCUAGGGGAGCAAACGGG